GGUAGUAUAUCGCGCUUGGUGCUUGCUGGAAUCUAGUUGUCCCCUUACAUUAUUAUACUACUAUAUAUCUAUACUUAAAUAAUUAUAGUAGAUAAACAAGCCUCGCAUACCUAACUGCAUGAGAAGUAAGUAGUGCAACAUUUUAGCGACAAAGCAGGGCAACGAUGGAAGCGAUUCGAUAUCAUAUCUAAAAGAAAUCAUCGGCCGUUGUUUAGUCCGGUAGGUGAAGCAUUUAGUGUAGCUCAGAUUUUUGUUUUGCGAAAUAAAUUAUAACAAAGUAAUCUUCGUUGUCCCUGUAGCAUGUCUUGUAGUUUUUGUAAUCGACGUAUGGUAAGCUAUACUUCUUAUUUUCCUAGCAAUGUUCACAUUCCAGAAUAAUAUAUGAAUUAAAGUACAGUGUAAUCGACAUACUUUAUUUAUUAUAUCUAUGGUUAUUAACAAUUUUUAGAAUUUGAUAAAGCUGCCGUUACAAUAAUGCUUAACAUUUAUGCGUGUAUAUGCGGCUAAUUCAUAAAUAAUGAAUGGCUCCAUGUUUGUCUGAAACUAACUUAUUAAAUACUACUAUAUUAUUACCUGUAUAGAUAGCAUUAUUCUUUAUGUAUCGAUAAUUUUAAUCAAUUUUGUAAUAACAUGACAAUAAUUCAAAAUUAUAAUGUCUUGUAUUGCAAAGCGAA